rnacentral:rRNA from 1 species
UUUAUGGAGAGUUUGAUCCUGGCUCAGGAUGAACGCUGGCGGCGUGCCUAAUACAUGCAAGUCGAGCGAACGGACGAGAAGCUUGCUUCUCUGAUGUUAGCGGCGGACGGGUGAGUAACACGUGGAUAACCUACCUAUAAGACUGGGAUAACUUCGGGAAACCGGAGCUAAUACCGGAUAAUAUUUUGAACCGCAUGGUUCAAAAGUGAAAGACGGUCUUGCUGUCACUUAUAGAUGGAUCCGCGCUGCAUUAGCUAGUUGGUAAGGUAACGGCUUACCAAGGCAACGAUGCAUAGCCGACCUGAGAGGGUGAUCGGCCACACUGGAACUGAGACACGGUCCAGACUCCUACGGGAGGCAGCAGUAGGGAAUCUUCCGCAAUGGGCGAAAGCCUGACGGAGCAACGCCGCGUGAGUGAUGAAGGUCUUCGGAUCGUAAAACUCUGUUAUUAGGGAAGAACAUAUGUGUAAGUAACUGUGCACAUCUUGACGGUACCUAAUCAGAAAGCCACGGCUAACUACGUGCCAGCAGCCGCGGUAAUACGUAGGUGGCAAGCGUUAUCCGGAAUUAUUGGGCGUAAAGCGCGCGUAGGCGGUUUUUUAAGUCUGAUGUGAAAGCCCACGGCUCAACCGUGGAGGGUCAUUGGAAACUGGAAAACUUGAGUGCAGAAGAGGAAAGUGGAAUUCCAUGUGUAGCGGUGAAAUGCGCAGAGAUAUGGAGGAACACCAGUGGCGAAGGCGACUUUCUGGUCUGUAACUGACGCUGAUGUGCGAAAGCGUGGGGAUCAAACAGGAUUAGAUACCCUGGUAGUCCACGCCGUAAACGAUGAGUGCUAAGUGUUAGGGGGUUUCCGCCCCUUAGUGCUGCAGCUAACGCAUUAAGCACUCCGCCUGGGGAGUACGACCGCAAGGUUGAAACUCAAAGGAAUUGACGGGGACCCGCACAAGCGGUGGAGCAUGUGGUUUAAUUCGAAGCAACGCGAAGAACCUUACCAAAUCUUGACAUCCUUUGACAACUCUAGAGAUAGAGCCUUCCCCUUCGGGGGACAAAGUGACAGGUGGUGCAUGGUUGUCGUCAGCUCGUGUCGUGAGAUGUUGGGUUAAGUCCCGCAACGAGCGCAACCCUUAAGCUUAGUUGCCAUCAUUAAGUUGGGCACUCUAAGUUGACUGCCGGUGACAAACCGGAGGAAGGUGGGGAUGACGUCAAAUCAUCAUGCCCCUUAUGAUUUGGGCUACACACGUGCUACAAUGGACAAUACAAAGGGCAGCGAAACCGCGAGGUCAAGCAAAUCCCAUAAAGUUGUUCUCAGUUCGGAUUGUAGUCUGCAACUCGACUACAUGAAGCUGGAAUCGCUAGUAAUCGUAGAUCAGCAUGCUACGGUGAAUACGUUCCCGGGUCUUGUACACACCGCCCGUCACACCACGAGAGUUUGUAACACCCGAAGCCAGUGGAGUAACCUUUUAGGAGCUAGCCGUCGAAGGUGGGACAAAUGAUUGGGGUGAAGUCGUAACAAGGUAGCCGUAUCGGAAGGUGCGGCUGGAUCACCUCCUUUCU